GAAUAAGAGGUUGCUAACUCUGUGCCAGCAGCAGCGGUAAUACAGAGACCUCGAGCGUUAUCCGGAUUUAUUGGGCGUAAAGCGUCCGCAGGUGGUUUGCUAAGUCAUCAGUCAAAUCCUGAAGCUUAACUUCAGGGCUGCUGGUGAUACUGGCGAACUCGAGGGUGGGAGAGGCGAGCGGAAUUGCCGGUGUAGUAGUAAAAUGCGUUGAUAUCGGCAAGAACACCAGAGGCGAAGGCGGCUCGCUGGAACACACCUGACACUAAGGGACUAAAGCGUGGGGAGUGAUACGGAUUAGAUACCCGUGUAAUCCACGCCCUAAACGAUGGAUACUAGGUAUUGGCAGUAUCGACCCUGCCAGUGCCGUUCAAAAAAGCUAACGCGUUAAGUAUCCCGCCUGGGAAGUACGAUCGCAAGAUUAAAACUCAAAGGAAUAGACGGGGACCCGCACAAGCGGUGGAGCAUGUGGUUCAAUUCGACGAUAACCGAGGAACCUUACCAGGGCUUGACAUGUAGCUGCAAAUCUUAGGAAACUAGGAUGCCUUCGAGGGUGCUACACAGGUGCUGCAUGGUUGCCGUCAGCUCGUGCCGUGAGGUGUAUCAUUAAGUUGAGCAACGAGCGCAACCCCCAUGUUGUGUUAAAUUGUACACAACAGACCGCCCUGCCCCUAAUGCAUUUUUAAUUAAGUGCGUUAAGGGCAGGGAGGAAGGAGGGGAUGACGUCAAAUCAGCAUGGCUCUUACGUCCUGGGCCACACACGUGCUACAAUGGGUAGUAACAAUGGGUUGCCAAAUCGCAAGAUGGAGCUAAUCCCACCAAACCUACCCCUAGUUCAGAUUGAGGGCUGCAACUCGCCCUCAUGAAGCAGGAAUCGCUAGUAAACGCCGAUCAGCCACGCGGCGUUGAAUACGUUCUCGGGUCUUGUACUCACCGCCCGUCAAGCCAAGGGAGUCGGAGGCGCCCGAAUUCCGAGCAAUCGGGAGAAGGCGAAGCCGAUGACAGGGGCUAAGUCGUAGAUGCAUACUGCAUCAUCUGUUGCGACCUCUUCAAGUAAUUG
rnacentral:ncRNA from 1 species